CGUCAAAGUGGUGGGUGAUUUG
rnacentral:miRNA from 1 species